UACGAAGGGUGCAAACGUUGCUCGGAAUUAUUGGGCGUAAAGCGCACGUAGGCGGCAUCGCAAGUCCCAUGUGAAAGCCCACGGCUUAACCGUGGAAGUGCAUGGGAAACUGCAGUGCUUGAGUACUUAAGAGGAUCGCGGAAUUCCCGGUGUAGAGGUGAAAUUCGUAGAUAUCGAGAGGAACACCGGUGGCGAAGGCGGCCUUCUGGACAGUGACUGACGCUGAGACGCGAAAGCGUGGGGAGCAAACAGG
rnacentral:rRNA from 1 species